GUCGCUCCUACCGAUUUCGAGUGGUCCGGUGAAGCCUCGGGAUUGUGGUCAGUUUGCUUCAUUGCGAGUUGAUUGCGAGAACUUGUCUAAACCUUAUCAUUUAGAGGAAGGUG
rnacentral:rRNA from 1 species